rnacentral:rRNA from 1 species
UACGGGGGGGGGCAAGCGUUGUUCGGAAUUACUGGGCGUAAAGGGCUCGUAGGCGGCCAACUAAGUCGGAUGUGAAAUCCCCAGGCUUAACCUGGGAAUUGCAGUCGAUACUACUCAGCUAGAGUAUGGGAGAGGGUAGUGGAAUUCCCGGUGUAGCGGUGAAAUGCGUAGAUAUCGGGAGGAACAUCAGUGGCGAAGGCGGCUACCUGGCCCAAUACUGACACUCAGGUGCGACAGCGUGGGGAGCAAACAGG